rnacentral:tRNA from 1 species
UGGCUCAGUUCGUAGAGCAUGGUGUUUGCAAUGCCAGGGUUGUGGGUUCGAUUCCCAC